GAUGAACGCUAGCGGGAGGCCUAACACAUGCAAGCCGAGCGGUAGAGUCUCUUCGGCGUCUUGAGAGCGGCGCCCGGGUGCGGACCACGUGUGCAACCUGCCUUUAUCUGUGGGAUAGCCUUUCGAACGGAAGAUUAAUACCCCAUAAUAUACUUGAUGGCAUCAUCUGGUAUUGAAAACUCUGCUGGCUAUAGGUGGGGACGCGAAAGGUUAGAUAGUUGGUUAGGUAACGGCUCACCAACUCAGCGAUCUUAAGGGGCUUUGAUAGGGUGAUCCCCCACAAUGGUACUGAGACACGGACCAGACUCGUACGGGAGGCAGCAGUGAGGAAUAUUGGACACUGGGUGAGAGCCUGAUCCAGCCAUCCCGCGUGAAGGACGACGGCCCUAGGGAUUGUAAUCUUCUUUUGUAUAAGGAUAACCCUAGAUACGUGUAUCUAGCUGAAGGUACUAUACGAAUAAGCACCGGCUAACUUCGUG
rnacentral:rRNA from 1 species